rnacentral:rRNA from 1 species
AACGAACGCUGGCGGCAGGCCUAACACAUGCAAGUCGAGCGAGAACUUCGGUUCUAGCGGCGGACGGGUGAGUAACGCGUGGGAACGUGCCCUUUGCUACGGAAUAGCCCAGGGAAACUUGGAUUAAUACCGUAUACGCCCUUCGGGGGAAAGAUUUAUCGGCAAAGGAUCGGCCCGCGUUAGAUUAGGUAGUUGGUGGGGUAAUGGCCUGCCAAGCCUACGAUCUAUAGCUGGUUUGAGAGGAUGAUCAGCCACACUGGGACUGAGACACGGCCCAGACUCCUACGGGAGGCAGCAGUGGGGAAUCUUAGACAAUGGGGGAAACCCUGAUCUAGCCAUGCCGCGUGAUCGAUGAAGGCCUUAGGGUUGUAAAGAUCUUUCAGUGGGGAAGAUAAUGACGGUACCCACAGAAGAAGCCCCGGCUAACUCCGUGCCAGCAGCCGCGGUAAUACGGAGGGGGCUAGCGUUGUUCGGAAUUACUGGGCGUAAAGCGCGCGUAGGCGGGCUGGAAAGUUGGGGGUGAAAUCCCGGGGCUCAACCCCGGAACUGCCUCCAAAACUUCCAGUCUUGAGUUCGAGAGAGGUGAGUGGAACUCCGAGUGUAGAGGUGAAAUUCGUAGAUAUUCGGAAGAACACCAGUGGCGAAGGCGGCUCACUGGCUCGAUACUGACGCUGAGGUGCGAAAGUGUGGGGAGCAAACAGG